rnacentral:rRNA from 1 species
CACGUAGGGGGCAAGCGUUGUCCGGAUUUAUUGGGCGUAAAGGGCGCGUAGGCGGCUCUGCACGUCCGUUGUGAAAUCGCCCGGCUCAACUGGGCGGGGUCAGCGGAUACGGCGGAGCUUGAGCAAGCUAGGGGGCAAUGGAAUUCCCGGUGUAGUGGUGGAAUGCGUAGAUAUCAGGAGGAACACCAGUGGCGAAGGCGGUUGCCUGGGGCUUUGCUGACGCUGAUGCGCGAAAGCGUGGGGAGCGAUCCGG